AGUGUGUCAAAAAAAAUGUUGCCAGAAGUUUGCCAAUAAUGGUGAAUCUGCAGCAAACCUUUUUCAUCAAUAAUAUGUAUUCUAGUUUUUUUUCUUUUUUCUAGUUUUUUUUCUUCUGACAAAAAAUUCUCUCAAGAUUCUAUUUCAAUCUGUGGCAACAAUAUUUAUUGCCACGUUACCAGAAACUGCUUCUGGUGAAAACAUGCGUUUUAAGACCAGUUGACGACCAAUCAGGGGGAUUCGAAAAAUCUGUUGGAAAAUGGAAACUAAGAAAUCUAGCUAGCUACCUAUCAAAGUUUGCCAAUGGCUGCCCUUCCCCUACCUGUGGUGUUGGAAAAUGCUGUAUUGGGAGGAGGAUGCAUGAACCCUCUUUGAGCGAUACAUUUGUGUCUAUAAGCAUGAAGCAAUCAGUUACAAGGCAAAAACCAAGAUUGAGGCCUUCAAUCUACCCGAGGACAGAGAGAUGUGCGCAACAGGUGCCACUUCUUGCAUGCUUGGCUUUGAGAUCCUAAUACACCUGAGUCAGGAAGAAGAGACAACUAUUAGACAACUUCUUAGUGAUGAAGUCCCCAGUCUAGAUUUAAUAUCUGUUUGAUACAAUUGUGUUGAGGCUUGGCUGGAGCAAAAUAUUGUGUACUGUGGAACAGUUGGCCACACAAUUUAAAGGUAGAUUUAGUAGGCCUAGUUUAUGCUAGCUCCAUCAUUUGUUUAUAUACAUUGUUUCCUUGCUGAAAAAUAUAUGGAAUGCCAGUUUCAGUGAGAAGCAUAGCAACAUCAAGGCAACUUUAACAGCUUUUUAAAAAUGUAUGUAUCAUUUAUUUAACUAGGCAAGUCAUUUAAGAACAAAUUCUUAUUUACAAUGACGGCCUACCGGGGAACAGUGGGCCAACUGCCUUGUUCAGUGGCAGAACUACAGCUCGGGGAUACAAACCAGCAACCGUUCGGUUACUGGCCCAACGCUCUAACCACUAGGCUACCUGCCGCACUCAAAAAAUGGUCAAGGCUUCUUGCUAUAUUGGGAGGAGCUGACCGCAUUUUUACAAGGCUAAACUCUCCCAUUAGCCGCUGAGUCUACCUUUUUAAGAUGCCAAAAUAGAAAAUGUUACAGUGCAUGCAUUUUGGAUGAAAGACUUCCAUAGGGCCGCCAUCUUCAAAGUUCACUCAAAAAGGCAAUCGUUCUGAACUGGGUUUCAUUUAGUUUUUGAUGUUUUAAUUAUUAAAUCUUAUCUUUUAAACUUUCAAUAGUUGAAAGCUAUUGCUCAUGUAUCACUUGGCUCAUGUAAAUUCAGUAGUUGCCCCUUUAAACAUCAUAAGGUCAACAUCCCCAUUGUGUUCACAUGUAAAUGUUGUAGCUACAUAAAAAUGUCAAACAAUA